rnacentral:rRNA from 1 species
GGAUUCCCCUAGUAACUGCGAGUGAACCGGGAAAAGCUCAAAUUUUGAAUCUGGCAGUCUUUUAGAUUGUCCGAGUUGUAAUCUAGAGAAGUGUUUUCCGCGCUGGACCGUGUAUAAGUUUCCUGGAAAGGAACGUCAUAGAGGGUGAAAAUCCCGUCUUUGACACGGACUACCAGGGCUAUGUGAUGCACUCUCGACGAGUCGAGUUGUUUGGGAAUGCAGCUCAAAUAGGGUGGUAAAUUCCAUCUAAAGCUAAAUAUAGGCGAGAGACCGAUAGCGAACAAGUACCGUGAGGGAAAGAUGAAAAGAACUUUGGAAAGAGAGUUAAACAGUAUGUGAAAUUGCUGAAAGGGAAACGCUUGAUGUCAGUCGCGUUGGCUGGGGAUCAGUCUUGCUUAACUGCGAGGCGUAGUUCCUGGUUGACGGGUCAGUAUCAGUUUUGACCGUCGGAAAAGGGCUUAGGGAAUGUGGCACUCUCUUGGGGGUGUGUUAUAGCCUUGGGC